UACGUAGGGGGCGAGCGUUAUCCAGAUUUACUGGGCGUAAAGCGCGUGUAGGCGGCUGGUUAGGUCUGAUGUGAAAUCCUCGGGCUCAACCCGAGAACUGCAUUGCAAACCGGCCUGGCUAGAGUGCAGGAGAGGGAAGCGGAAUUCCAGGUGUAGCGGUGAAAUGCGUAGAUAUCUGGAGGAAUACCGAUGGCGAAGGCGGCAUCCUGGACCGGCAUUGACGCUGAGAGGCGAAAGCUAGGGGAGCAAACGGG
rnacentral:rRNA from 1 species